rnacentral:rRNA from 1 species
UGGCUCAGGAUGAACGCUGGCGGCGUGCCUAAUACAUGCAAGUCGAACGGUCUUUCUAUGGAAGCUUGCUUCCACUGAGAAGAUAGUGGCGAACGGGUGAGUAACACGUGGGUAACCUGCCCAUAAGAGGGGGGAUAACAUCCGGAAACGGGUGCUAAUACCGCAUAGUUUUCUUGAUCGCAUGAUCGGGAAAGGAAAGACGGCCUUUGUGCUGUCGCUUAUGGAUGGACCCGCGGCGUAUUAGUUAGUUGGUGAGGUAACGGCUCACCAAGACGAUGAUACGUAGCCGACCUGAGAGGGUGAUCGGCCACAUUGGGACUGAGACACGGCCCAAACUCCUACGGGAGGCAGCAGUAGGGAAUCUUCCGCAAUGGACGAAAGUCUGACGGAGCAACGCCGCGUGAGUGAAGAAAGGGUUUUCGGAUCGUAAAACUCUGUUGUCAGAGAAGAACAAGUUGGAGAGUAACUGCUCCAGCCUUGACGGUAUCUGACCAGAAAGCCACGGCUAACUACGUGCCAGCAGCGGC